rnacentral:rRNA from 1 species
UGGGGAAUCUUGCACAAUGGGGGCAACCCUGAUGCAGCGACGCCGCGUGAGCGAUGAAGCCCCUCGGGGCGUAAAGCUCUUUCGACCGGAACGAUAAUGACGGUACCGGGAGAAGAAGCUGCGGCUAACUACGUGCCAGCAGCCGCGGUAAUACGUAGGCAGCAAGCGUUGUUCGGAGUUACUGGGCGUAAAGAGUGCGUAGGCGGUUUUCUAAGUUCGGUGUGAAAUCUCCCGGCUUAACUGGGAGGGUGCGCCGAAGACUGGGAAGCUGGAGUGUGGGAAAGGCAGGCGGAAUUCCUGGUGUAGCGGUGAAAUGCGUAGAUAUCAGGAGGAACACCGGCGGUGUAGACGGCUUGCUAGACCAUAACUGACGCUGAGGCACGAAGGCGUGGGUAGCAAACA